rfam:Gallus gallus isolate RJF #256 breed Red Jungle fowl, inbred line TCD001 chromosome 1, whole genome shotgun sequence.
GUCUCUUUCAGCCUCAGCCAUUCUGCGAUUCUGUGAUAACUUUUAGAAUCAGAGAAUCAUAGAAUGGUCCGGGUUGGUAGGGAC